rnacentral:rRNA from 1 species
CCAGACUCCUACGGGAGGCAGCAGUGGGGAAUAUUGCGCAAUGGGGGGAACCCUGACGCAGCAACGCCGCGUGCAGGAAGAAGGUCUUCGGAUUGUAAACUGUUGUCGCAGGGGAAGAAGACAGUGACGGUACCCUGUGAGAAAGUCACGGCUAACUACGUGCCAGCAGCCGCGGUAAUACGUAGGUGACAAGCGUUGUCCGGAUUUACUGGGUGUAAAGGGCGCGUAGGCGGAUGUGCAAGUCAGUCGUGAAAUACCGGGGCUCAACCCCGGGGCUGCGAUUGAAACUGCACACCUUGAGUAUCGGAGAGGAAAGCGGAAUUCCUAGUGUAGCGGUGAAAUGCGUAGAUAUUAGGAGGAACACCAGUGGCGAAGGCGGCUUUCUGGACGACAACUGACGCUGAGGCGCGAAAGUGUGGGGAGCAAACAGGAUUAGAUACCCCUGUA